rnacentral:rRNA from 1 species
CCUACGGGAGGCAGCAGUGAGGAAUAUUGGUCAAUGGACGAGAGUCUGAACCAGCCAAGUAGCGUGAAGGAUGACUGCCCUAUGGGUUGUAAACUUCUUUUAUAUGGGAAUAAAAUGUUCCACGUGUGGGCUUUUGUAUGUACUUUAUGAAUAAGGAUCGGCUAACUCCGUGCCAGCCGCCGCGGUAAUACGGAGGAUCCGAGCGUUAUCCGGAUUUAUUGGGUUUAAAGGGAGCGUAGAUGGGUUGUUAAGUCAGUUGGGAAAGUUUGCGGCUCAACCGUAAAAUUGCAAUUGAUACUGGCAGUCUUGAGUACAGUUGAGGUAGGCGGAAUUCGUGGUGUAGCGGUGAAAUGCUUAGAUAUCACGAAGAACUCCGAUUGCGAAGGCAGCUUACUAAACUGCCACUGACAUUGAUGCUCGAAAGUGUGGGUAUCAAACAGGAUUAGAUACCCCAGUAGUC